GACGAACGCUGGCGGCGUGCUUAACACAUGCAAGUCGACGACGCUACUGAGUAGCAAUAUUUAGUAGUGGAGUGGCGCAAGGGUGAGUAAUGUAUACGUAACCAACCCAUCGGAGACGGAUAACAUUUCGAAAGGGAUGCUAAAACGGCAUGAAGCCACGAUUUCGCAUGAGAUUGUGGUUAAAGAACCGGUAACAGGUUGCCGAUGGCUGGGCGUAUAUCCGAUUAGCUAGUUGGUAGUGUAAUGGACUACCAAGGCGACGAUCGGUAGCUGGUCUGAGAGGAUGAUCAGCCACACUGGCACUGAGACACGGGCCAGACGCCUACGGGAGGCAGCGGUGGGGAAUAUUGGGCAAUGCCCGCAAGAGUGACCCAGCAACGCCGGGUGGAGGAUGAAGGCCGUAAGGUUGUAAACUCUGACAAGCAGGGAAGAACGGCUAUGGUAAAAGGCCAUAGAUUGACGGUACCUGCCUGAAGCCCCGGCUAACUACGUG
rnacentral:rRNA from 1 species